CAAGGAAGAACACAAUGACGGUACUUGAGGAAUAAGCCUCGGCUAACUCCGUGCCAGCAGCCGCGGUAAUACGGAGGAGGCAAGCGUUAUCCGGAAUGAUUGGGCGUAAAGCGUCCGUAGGUGGCUGUUCAAGUCUGCUGUCAAAGACAGUGGCUUAACUACUGAAAGGCAGUGGAAACUGAACAGCUAGAGUACGGUAGGGGCAGAGGGAAUUCCCGGUGUAGCGGUGAAAUGCGUAGAUAUCGGGAAGAACACCGGUGGCGAAAGCGCUCUGCUGGGCCGUAACUGACACUGAGGGACGAAAGCU
rnacentral:rRNA from 1 species